rnacentral:lncRNA from 14 species
AGAAGACACUGCAGAAGAGCUGAAUUCAGAAAAUUGGGUGAAACUUCUCUGUCAAAACUUCACAAUGACCUUAACAAGCUGGGUAUCAGUGCUACUGGCAUUCCUUCUCUUACAUUUUUGGAGACCAAAGGUUUAUGCUUCUGGAAACUCAGAGGAGGAAAUAGAGUCAGAUGGCAAACCGGAUAGAAGGUCAAACAUGGGAUCAAGCCAAAACAGAGAAGACACCAAUGUACCAGGAAAACAAAGUACAAAUGAUCAAUAAACCUUUUGCAAUCAGCAGUUACCUGGUCUGAGGAUCAAUAAAAAUCUCUUGUAUGCAGGCA